UCCUGACUGACCGAUAGUGAACCAGUACCGUGAGGGAAAGGCGAAAAGAACCCCGGCGAGGGGAGUGAAAAAGAACCUGAAACCGUGUACGUACAAGCAGUGGGAGCACGCUUAGGCGUGUGACUGCGUACCUUUUGUAUAAUGGGUCAGCGACUUAUAUUCUGUAGCAAGGUUAACCGAAUAGGGGAGCCGAAGGGAAACCGAGUCUUAACUGGGCGUUAAGUUGCAGGGUAUAGACCCGAAACCCGGUGAUCUAGCCAUGGGCAGGUUGAAGGUUGGGUAACACUAACUGGAGGACCGAACCGACUAAUGUUGAAAAAUUAGCGGAUGACUUGUGGCUGGGGGUGAAAGGCCAAUCAAACCGGGAGAUAGCUGGUUCUCCCCGAAAGCUAUUUAGGUAGCGCCUCGUGAAUUCAUCUCCGGGGGUAGAGCACUGUUUCGGCAAGGGGGUCAUCCCGACUUACCAACCCGAUGCAAACUGCGAAUACCGGAGAAUGUUAUCACGGGAGACACACGGCGGGUGCUAACGUCCGUCGUGAAGAGGGAAACAACCCAGACCGCCAGCUAAGGUCCCAAAGUCAUGGUUAAGUGGGAAACGAUGUGGGAAGGCCCAGACAGCCAGGAUGUUGGCUUAGAAGCAGCCAUCAUUUAAAGAAAGCGUAAUAGCUCACUGGUCGAGUCGGCCUGCGCGGAAGAUGUAACGGGGCUAAACCAUGCACCGAAGCUGCGGCAGCGACGCUUAUGCGUUGUUGGGUAGGGGAGCGUUCUGUAAGCCUGCGAAGGUGUGCUGUGAGGCAUGCUGGAGGUAUCAGAAGUGCGAAUGCUGACAUAAGUAACGAUAAAGCGGGUGAAAAGCCCGCUCGCCGGAAGACCAAGGGUUCCUGUCCAACGUUAAUCGGGGCAGGGUGAGUCGACCCCUAAGGCGAGGCCGAAAGGCGUAGUCGAUGGGAAACAGGUUAAUAUUCCUGUACUUGGUGUUACUGCGAAGGGGGGACGGAGAAGGCUAUGUUGGCCGGGCGACGGUUGUCCCGGUUUAAGCGUGUAGGCUGGUUUUCCAGGCAAAUCCGGAAAAUCAAGGCUGAGGCGUGAUGACGAGGCACUACGGUGCUGAAGCAACAAAUGCCCUGCUUCCAGGAAAAGCCUCUAAGCAUCAGGUAACAUCAAAUCGUACCCCAAACCGACACAGGUGGUCAGGUAGAGAAUACCAAGGCGCUUGAGAGAACUCGGGUGAAGGAACUAGGCAAAAUGGUGCCGUAACUUCGGGAGAAGGCACGCUGAUAUGUAGGUGAAGUCCCUUGCGGAUGGAGCUGAAAUCAGUCGAAGAUACCAGCUGGCUGCAACUGUUUAUUAAAAACACAGCACUGUGCAAACACGAAAGUGGACGUAUACGGUGUGACGCCUGCCCGGUGCCGGAAGGUUAAUUGAUGGGGUCAGCGCAAGCGAAGCUCUUGAUCGAAGCCCCGGUAAACGGCGGCCGUAACUAUAACGGUCCUAAGGUAGCGAAAUUCCUUGUCGGGUAAGUUCCGACCUGCACGAAUGGCGUAAUGAUGGCCAGGCUGUCUCCACCCGAGACUCAGUGAAAUUGAACUCGCUGUGAAGAUGCAGUGUACCCGCGGCAAGACGGAAAGACCCCGUGAACCUUUACUAUAGCUUGACACUGAACAUUGAGCCUUGAUGUGUAGGAUAGGUGGGAGGCUUUGAAGUGUGGACGCCAGUCUGCAUGGAGCCGGCCUUGAAAUACCACCCUUUAAUGUUUGAUGUUCUAACGUGGACCCGUGAUCCGGGUUGCGGACAGUGUCUGGUGGGUAGUUUGACUGGGGCGGUCUCCUCCUAAAGAGUAACGGAGGAGCACGAAGGUUGGCUAAUCCUGGUCGGACAUCAGGAGGUUAGUGCAAUGGCAUAAGCCAGCUUGACUGCGAGCGUGACGGCGCGAGCAGGUGCGAAAGCAGGUCAUAGUGAUCCGGUGGUUCUGAAUGGAAGGGCCAUCGCUCAACGGAUAAAAGGUACUCCGGGGAUAACAGGCUGAUACCGCCCAAGAGUUCAUAUCGACGGCGGUGUUUGGCACCUCGAUGUCGGCUCAUCACAUCCUGGGGCUGAAGUAGGUCCCAAGGGUAUGGCUGUUCGCCAUUUAAAGUGGUACGCGAGCUGGGUUUAGAACGUCGUGAGACAGUUCGGUCCCUAUCUGCCGUGGGCGCUGGAGAACUGAGGGGGGCUGCUCCUAGUACGAGAGGA
rnacentral:rRNA from 1 species